AUGCCCAGCCCUAAACUCUGAUAGUCCGGCUACACCCGACUAUCCGCCUGGGUACUACAAGCCCAAGCUUUAAACCCAAAGGACUUGGCGGUGCUUAAGAUCCACCUAGAGGAGCCUGUUCUAUAACCGAUGACCCCCGUUCAACCUCACCCUCCCUUGUUUUUACCGUCUGUAUACCGCCGUCGUCAGCCUACCCUGUGAGGGAUUAGUAGUCAGCAGGAUUGUUACACCCCUAAACGUCAGGUCGAGGUGCAGCGUAUGAGAGGGAAAGAAAUGGGCUACAUUUCCUUAUGCAGGAAAUACGAAUAAUGAUAUGAAAUAAACAUAUUGAAGGAGGAUUUAGCAGUAAAUGAGAAACAGAGCGUCUCAUUGAAAUUGGCCCUAAAGCACGCACACACCGCCCGUCACUCUCUCCGAAACAUAAUUCUCUUUAUAGAUAAACACCUAAAAAAUACAAGGGGAGGCAAGUCGUAACAUGGUAAGUGUACCGGAAGGUGCACUUGGA
rnacentral:rRNA from 1 species